rnacentral:rRNA from 1 species
GAAUCUUGGACAAUGGGGGCAACCCUGAUCCAGCGACGCCGCGUGGGUGAUGAAGGCCUUCGGGUUGUAAAGCCCUUUCACCGGGGACGAUGAUGACGGUACCCGGAGAAGAAGCACCGGCUAACUCCGUGCCAGCAGCCGCGGUAAGACGGAGGGUGCUAGCGUUGUUCGGAAUCACUGGGCGUAAAGGGCGCGUAGGCGGCCAAGGCAGUCGGCUUUGUGAAAGCCCGGGGCUCAACCCCGGAGGUGCGGCCGAUACUCUUUGGCUGGAGGCCGGAAGAGGAGGGUGGAAUACCCAGUGUAGAGGUGAAAUUCGUAGAUAUUGGGUGGAACACCGGUGGCGAAAGCGGCUCUCUGGUCCGGACCUGACGCUGAGGCGCGAAAGCGUGGGGAGCAAACAGG